UCAAUAGUGAGACCUUUGACGUGAUGAUC
rnacentral:sRNA from 1 species